GGAAAAUCAAUGAAAAUGUGCUUAAUUAUAAUUGGGUCUCUACCAAAAGAAUAAUAAUAAAAAAAAAAACCCAAGGGGGAAGUGUGUUAUUGUUCACAGCAUAACAGGAUAUAAAAGCAUUGAAUUGACUAAACAUUUUAAAAUACACAUGAACCCCACAGGGAUUUAUUAUUUUGAGGGGGAGGCGAAUGGACAGUUCCAGUUUGGACACAUCUUCUGCUUCAGUGUUUUUUUCUUUAUUAUUAUUAUUUUCAACAUUGUACAUUAAAGACAUACUAUAAAAGAACACGUAUGGAAUUAGAUAAUAAACAAAAAUGUGUCAACACAGAAUAUGAUUUAUAUUUUAGAUUGCGAAGUAGCUCCAUAUGCUUUGAAGCCAACUUGACAAACUCAUGGCAUUCUCUAAUCAGGUUCAUGAGAGAUCGUCACCUGGAAUGUUUACAGUUCACAGAUGUGUCUUGUCAAGAGUUCAUUCGUGACAUUUCUUGCCUUUUUAAUGUGCUGUCUUGUGCAGAGGAAAGGGUGAGUCAAUAGUCCUAUUAGUGCUACUAGACCUACUUUACAAAUCCAUAUUAUGAAACAUCUCGAGGACUUUAUAAGUAAGGGGGUAUAUUUAAAGUUCUUGAGAUUUUUCGGAUUGACUGACCUUCAUUUCUUAAAGAAAAGAUAGAUCUUUUUUUCUUCACUAUCUAAUUGGCUAUCGUGAGGACCAGGUAAAGAACAAGAAUAAUUCAAUUCAUAUUCUUUUAUGGUUCGGAUGUUUUAAUAUUAAUGUACAUUAAAAUUAAAGGGAGAAGCCAUUGAAGGGAAGUGUGUCUGAAAUUUUGAAUGGAACUCUGUUUUCGUCUCCAAAGUUUAACGUUAUUUUUUCUAAAUUCUACAAACUGAUAUUAAAUACACACUAAACAAAAUCCUCAUUAUUAUGACAGAAUGACAUGGGAUGUUUGGUAGGUUAUCAUUUGCAUUCUAAUGCAAAAUUAGAGAUCAUAUUUUUAAAAAAAUGUACCAAAUCGUUUCAUGUGUUUCAAAUAAUUCAUGUCGAAAUGUUUCCGCGGACGUAAAUAAACGACGGACCGCACGAUUAUGUGGUAAUUCGUGCUGAACGGAAACGGGUUAUUAUCCGGGAAUUAGAAAAUAAUUUCAGUCUUGUAAUUUAAAUUAUAACUAUUUUGGAUGUCUAGUGAUUUCAUGUUACUAGUAAAUUCAAGUUUUAAAUGUGUAACGCGUGUCAUGAUGAUGUGGUUGGUUCAAUUAUUUUGCUAAAUAUCAGAACACCCCUACAAUGGAGUGUACCAUCUCCUAAUUAAGCUGAUUGUCCAUGUCGCCGCAAACUGAAGCCUCUGCUCAUGUCAGGGGUCUCACAGCAGACCAUCCGUCUCCUGCCUGGUGGCUCCAUCUUCAGCAGUCUUCUACCGAUAUACCCUAUGUUCCUCCUCUCAAUCAUUCCUUUCUCUCCUUGUCUCCAAAACGUCCCACCUGCACGGUCCCUCUAAUAACCUCGUUUCUAAUCCUGUCCAUCCUCAUCACACCUAAUUAAAUUUAACUUUAUCUUUGAGAAGAUAAAAAAAACAGCUUGUUGUCUCCAAAAACGUAUAUAGAAAACCUCAGAGACUCUUCAAAUGUAGGUUGAAUAAGACCCCCCCCAAAUAGUUGGACAUUCAGGGGACUAUCUGCCCUCUACCACAUACUCAAGCACACCUUUGUGCAGGAUUGGUAAGCGUUGCUGUGAUUGACAGGAGGGACAAUGCCAUUCAUUUUGGCGUCAUCAUCAUCAUCAUCAUCAGGAUGCGAUCUCACAACCAGGUGAAAGAUUUUACUCUAAAGUGCACUGGAUAUUUUUGUUUGCUGUUGCUGUACAUCGUGGAUGACAGAUAAUACUGACAGAUAAUAGCCCAGAAAUGAGAUUUGUAGAAUUAACCCAUGAAACACAAAUCUCUUAAAGGAGUGAUCCUCGCUCACUUUGUGUUUCCAACUCGGUGUGUAUCCCCUCCAGGGCAGCUGAUAUUAGAGUGAGGAUGUGUGACUUUCAAACAAGUAAUGAUUGUGAAAGCAGAAAACGCCCUUUCGUUACUAUGAAAUGUGUAGGAAAAUAAAAUGUUGAAAAGAAAGUAAACAGCGCCACCAAUCUGCAAAUAUAAUCAUUACAGGUUUUAUAUUCAGUGAAGAGUGAGAAUUCUGUACAUAAAUGCAAUUGCAAAGUAACAAGUUUAUGUCCCAUUUUUCUUGUCAGUAUUGGACAAAAGCAGUGCUGUAGAGUGUUGACACCAUGUCGAGCUGGAAUUUUAGACCUAAAUGACAAUAAUUAAAGUCCUGUGUUUCUCA